rnacentral:rRNA from 1 species
UAGAGUUUGAUCNUGGCUCAGANUGAANGNUGGNACCAGGUUUACACANAUGNNNCNCGCACGCUAACNUNAAGAAGCUUGCUUCUUUGAUGACGAGUGGNGGACGGGUGAGUAAUGCUUGGGAAUCUAGCUUAUGGAGGGNGAUAACUACGGGAAACUGUAGCUAAUACCGCGUAAUAUCGAAAGAUUAAAGUGUGGGACCUUCGGGCCACAUGCCAUAGGAUGAGCCCAAGUGGGAUUAGGUAGUUGGUGAGGUAAAGGCUCACCAAGCCGACGAUCUCUAGCUGGUCUGAGAGGAUGAUCAGCCACACUGGGACUGAGACACGGCCCAGACUCCUACGGGAGGCAGCAGUGGGGAAUAUUGCGCAAUGGGGGCAACCCUGACGCAGCCAUNCGCGUGAAUGAAGAAGNCCUUCGGUUUGUAAAGUUCUUUCGGUAGCGAGNAAGGCAUUUAGUUUAAUAAACUAGGUGAUUGACGUUNACUACAGAAGAAGCNCNGGCUAACUCNGUGCCAGCAGCCGCGUUAAUACGGAGGUGCAANCGUUAAUCGGAAUACUNGGCGUAAGGGCCGNAGGUGGUGANUAAGUNAGGGUGAANCCCCCGCUAACCUGGAAUNCAUUNAACUGGGNCCUAANUU